GACGAACGCUGGCGGCGUGCUUAACACAUGCAAGUCGAACGGAAAGGCCCUGCUUUUGUGGGGUGCUCGAGUGGCGAACGGGUGAGUAACACGUGAGUAACCUGCCCUUGACUUUGGGAUAACUUCAGGAAACUGGGGCUAAUACCGGAUAGGAGCUCCUGCUGCAUGGUGGGGGUUGGAAAGUUUCGGCGGUUGGGGAUGGACUCGCGGCUUAUCAGCUUGUUGGUGGGGUAGUGGCUUACCAAGGCUUUGACGGGUAGCCGGCCUGAGAGGGUGACCGGCCACAUGGGGACUGAGAUACGGCGCAGACGCCUACGGGAGGCAGCAGUGGGGAGUAUUGCACAGUGGGCGGGAGCGUGAUGCAGCGGCGCCGCGUGCGGGAUGACGGGCUUCGGGUUGUGAACCGCUUUCGCCUGUGACGAAGCGUGAGUGACGGUAAUGGGUAAAGAAGCACCGGCUAACUACGUG
rnacentral:rRNA from 1 species